CACAGCUGUAAUCCAUAAAGUCUCCCUUCAGUGCUGAGGCUGCUGUUAAACCAGUCUAAAGUUCCCUGGUACACCCUUGGAUGCUGUCUAAGUCUUCAGUGCUCACCCUCUGUUGCUGUCUGAGUCUUCAGCUGACCUCUCUCUCCUAUACUGAUUGUUCUGAGCACACAGAACGAGAGGUGGAAAGGCAAGCCAGUACGAACUGUGGAAAAAGAAGAAAAACAAUAAAAGUGGU